CCUUGCUUUAGUCAAAAUACAAUAAAAGCAAGAACUAAAAACUAAAAUUAUGUGGGCAGAACUAAUGGUCUUAUAGGCUCUGCACACUGAGCCCAUCCCGGGGGAAUGGUGGGAUUUUUUGACAGAUGUGAAACUCCGAUUCACACUGCCACCAUCCACCAUCCGUCAAAAACAGCUGAUGCCAAUAACAAGUUCAUUAAAUUUGCGCGGAAGAUUUAUUAAUUCUUGGUUCUUAUAAUGGAUGAUGAAGAUAUAGCAAUUAUUUCGGCUGUGGUUCAACAGCAAAAUAUUUUCUUGCACCAACUAAUAAUGUUGCUGUCAAUGAAUAAUGAUGAUGACGAGGAUGAGAUGACCCAGAUGACUGCCAUAAAAACACAAAAGCCAGGAAGAUUAUGGUCGUUUAUGGAUGCCACAUCGAAAUAAAACCACCAGCACCUGAGGCAGUAGACCACCAUAACUAUAAGGGCUGGUAUUCCACAGUCUUGUUUGCCCUAGUGGAUUAUAGAUACAGAUUUACAUAUGUAAAUAUCGGCUCUGCAGGAAGGUGCAAUGACUCGAUGAUAUACCAGAAGUCAAGCCUUGCAAAACAUAUCGAAGCAUCGACAUUACUCCAAGAGAAAGCCAAGGAAAUAAGCGCAGUAAACGUCCCUGUAAUGCUUAUCGGGGACUCGGCAUUUAGGUUUUCUAAAAAGCUGAUGAAACCUUACCCGUUUUCACAGUCGCCUCUUUGGAACAGCGCACGUUUAACUACAACCUUUCCAAAGCUAGGCGAGUGGUGGAAAAUGCAUUUGGGCAUUUAAAAGCCAGAUUUCGAAUAAUCGGAAAAGGUCUUGAUAGCCACCACAAAAAUAAUAGCGCCAUAAUAAUGAGCUGUUGUAUUUUACACAAUAUAUUAAAUAUGCACAACAGCGCGAUUAAUGAAAAUUGGCAGCUUGCAACAAAUGAGCAGCGCGAACAGCCCGAUACCAGCAACAGUUCUGCUGACUUUAAUCAGUCAGCAGAACAGAUACGAUCUGCAAUCGCAAAAUAUUGUGUAGACCGUAAUGAAAAUUAAAAACUUAUUUAUUUUUAUUUUUUAAAACUUCUAAUAAGUCGUUCUGGAAUUUUGUUUGGGUGCUGAUCAAGUCCUGCACCAUCUUCUCCUGCCUAACGUCGUGCUCCUCCUUCUUUCUGUGGAGGUCCUUUUGUUGUUCGAGACGCUCCUGGGCGAUCUCUGCCAGCCACGAAAUGUCGGUCUUUUUCUUUUUCUUUGGCGGACGCCCAGACAAGGUGCUGGAGCUACAAGAU